rnacentral:rRNA from 1 species
GACGAACGCUGGCGGCGUGCCUAAUACAUGCAAGUUGAGCGCUGAAGGUUGGUACUUGUCCCAACUGGAUGAGCAGCGAACGGGCGAGUAACGCGUGGGGAAUCUGCCUUUGAGCGGGGGACAACAUUUGGAAACGAAUGCUAAUACCGCAUAAAAACUUUAAACACAAGUUUUAAGUUUGAAAGAUGCAAUUGCAUCACUCAAAGAUGAUCCCGCGUUGUAUUAGCUAGUUGGUGAGGUAAAGGCUCACCAAGGCGAUGAUACAUAGCCGACCUGAGAGGGUGAUCGGCCACAUUGGGACUGAGACACGGCCCAAACUCCUACGGGAGGCAGCAGUAGGGAAUCUUCGGCAAUGGACGAAAGUCUGACCGAGCAACGCCGCGUGAGUGAAGAAGGUUUUCGGAUCGUAAAACUCUGUUGGUAGAGAAGAACGUUGGUGAGAGUGGAAAGCUCAUCAAGUGACGGUAACUACCCAGAAAGGGACGGCUAACUACGUG